rnacentral:pre_miRNA from 1 species
AAAAAGACAAACCUAGUUUCCGUGCCCAACAUUUGACCGUCCGUCUUAUUUGAAAAAGUUAUGAAAAAAAUAAAAAAGACAAGUCACGCACAAAGUAUUAAUCAUGUUUUAUCAUCUAACAUCAAUAAAAAUACGAAUUAUAAAAAAAUUUCAUAUAAAACGGACAGUCAAAGUUGGACACGGAAACCCAGGGUUUGUCUUUUU